rnacentral:rRNA from 1 species
UACGGAGGAUCCGAGCGUUAUCCGGAAUUAUUGGGUUUAAAGGGAGCGUAGGCGGGAGGUCAAGUCAGCUGUGAAAUGUAUCUGCUUAACGGGUACACUGCAGUUGAAACUGGUUUUCUUGAGUGCGUAAGAGGCAGGCGGAAUUCGUUGUGUAGCGGUGAAAUGCUUAGAUAUGACGAGGAACUCCUAUUGCGAAGGCAGCUUGCUGGGUCGUUACUGACGCUGAUGCUCGAAGGUGCGGGGAUCAAACAGGAUUAGAUA